rfam:Triticum aestivum genome assembly, contig: Triticum_aestivum_CS42_TGACv1_scaffold_223792_3B
CAUGUACUCCCUCCGUUCGGAAUUACUCGUCCAAGAAAUGAAUGUAUCUAGAUGUAUUUUAGUUGUAGAUACAUCCAUUGUUGUGACAAGUAAUUCCGAACGGAGGGAGUAGUUA